rnacentral:tRNA from 1 species
GCCAGUGUGGCUCAGCGGAUAGAGCCUCGGCCUGCGGACUCAAGGAUUCCGGGUUCGAUUCCCGUCAAGGGCA